AACGAACGCUGGCGGCACGCCUAACACAUGCAAGUCGAACGAAGCAUAAGAGCUUGCUCUUAUGACUGAGUGGCGCACGGGUGAGUAACACGUGGGAAUCUGCCUAUUGGUGGGGAAGAACUUUUGGAAACGAAAGCUAAUACCGCAUAAGCCCUAAGGGGGAAAGAUUUAUCGCCAAUAGAUGAGCCCGGGCUAGAUUAGCUAGUUGGUGAGGUAAGAGCUCACCAAGGCUACGAUCAAUAGCUGGUCUGAGAGGAUGGUCAGCCACACUGGGACUGAGACACGGCCCAGACUCCUACGGGAGGCAGCAGUGGGGAAUAUUGGACAAUGGGGGAAACCCUGAUCCAGCGAUGCCGCGUGAGUGAAGAAGGCCUUCGGGUUGUAAAGCUCUUUCAGAGGGGAUGAUAAUGACGGUACCCUCAGAAGAAGCACCGGCUAACUUCGUGCCAGCCGCCGCCGUAA
rnacentral:rRNA from 1 species